UUCCUUGCAGGGUAUGAGAGGCUGUAGUGGGAGGAAGGGAGAAGGGAAUGGGUUAACUCAAUGCUCCAGCUAGGUCCGAACAUAAGAUGCUGACUCCAGCCCAAGGCCACAGCACACAACCGACUCUCGGCUGCCUGCCAAGAAGGACGGGGGCCUGGAUUCCAACCCCAACCAGCCGUGAGAAAGGAGGAUUCAGCUGAAGAGAACUGCAGGGGCUGCGAAAACCAGUGAGACAGUGCAGGCCAGAGAGUGGGAAAACAACAGUCUUGCAUCCCUGAAGCCAGUGUGUUUUGGGAAAGCUGAGGAAGGUGUGGAAAGCCAGCUUGGACUGGUACAAAGAGCACAGGGGACAGAGGUCCCUGAACAAAACACCCCUAAAAAACCCCAGGAGUUAAAACCCUCCAGAGAGCUGAAGGAAAUUGGAGAUCAACAGCAGACCCUGGACAACCUGUGCACAGGACAGAAUUCUCUUCCACCCUUCCCCUUCUUCUUCUGAUGUUACACCCAGGGUUGGCCAGCCUCAGGUCAUGCGUGUAUAUAAAUAAAGCUUGGGAAAAAAUGUGACGUGUGGAUGAAGGAGGAAAAAUAACAGAUCCAGACACCCUGGUACCACUCAGUGGCAAUAGAUGCCAAACACAACAAAUAUGUUUUACAACAAGCCUGGAGCACUAACCACCUUUCUCAUGAAAGCUAUAUGAGAGUAUGGCAAGACCACUACGCUGAGCCAGGGGAAUAAGCUGAUUCCAAAAACUCACGCAUUGGCAUGAUGACAGAAUUGUGAUAGAUCUGCAAAGGGGGGACUACAACUCCCAUCAGCCCCUUCCCCACUGCACUUCCCUUACCCCUGGCCUGGAAAAGGGAAAGGUCCUGAACCAAGAAGUGGCCAGGGUCCGUUUGGAGACAUUGGCUGUAUGGCAAGUGAAGAGAUGGAGGGAAGGUGAAGCAGCAGUUGCAUGGCAAGCCAGGGGCUGGAAAGAAGCUGGAGACAGGAAGGGAUGCAGAGCUAUGUGUGGAACAGGCUCUGAGUGACAGACAUUAGUGGCAUGCACGUCAGUUGAGACUUAUGGGGAAGCUGCAGGACCUACUGAGUUCUGGGAGCCAGAGCAGAGACCCUAAAGAGAUUAACUGAGCCUGGCUUGGAAACCCACAAGCUCCAGUUUGAAUAGCAACUGGAUUGGAGAGGGCACUCCAGACACUAGCACUAAAGAGCCUGACUCUUGAUUGGAGUGUCCCCAGGGGCCCAAACAUUUACUGCUAUCACUCACUGUGAACUGUAAGUGUUUUAAGCCUCUGUAUCUAGGCUGUUCCUAACCUUUCCCUUUCCUACCAGCCCUAGCAAAAAAAAUUUUUCCAUUUAUCCUUGUAUCUGAAUGGUUAUUGGGAUCCACCAGGACUAGAACCUAAAGACCUAGUUACUGAAGCAUCUAGAGUGCUCAUGUGAGUUGUGGUGCAACUGGAACACUACUGGGACCCUAAUUGUUUAGUGUAUUCUGGCACAGAGGAGCAGCAGCAAUAAUGAGUUGCCAAAGAUUAGAACAUGGUGGAGAAGGGGGGGGUGGUGACUGUGGAUGUUUUUGCUGCCCUUUUUACCCUGCCAUUUGUUCCACCCAUGCCUCCUGCCUAAUUGUUCCCUUUGUAUCCUUCUCAUAGGCCCAUCUUUCUCUUAUGGUGCUCCUUACACCUCUAGAAUAUUCCAAAUAACCAUUGCUCUUCAUUCCACUCCCUCCUUAAAAUGUGCUGCUUCAUCCAAGCAUUUCAGUAAUUAUCUGUCAAACAAAUGUCUUCAAUACAAAACCCACCCACCAACAUUCUGAACCUUCAUCUGACAUACUGGUCUCAUUGUGGCCUAUUACAGUUGGCUAAAAUUUUUCUGUUGAAACUGGUUUUUGAUUAAACAAAUUUUGUGGGGAAAGUAUCUAUUUGCAGAAAACUUCCCUUUGUUAUGGACACCCCAAAAUUAAAAUUUCAGAUGAAAACAGAAUAUUGGGGUGUUUGGUCAUUUUUCAUAUUCAAAUUUCCACUAAAAAUUAAACACUUUUUGACCCGCUCUAGUCUGUAUUGCAUUGCAGACUAUACUACAACUAGUUCCUGAUAUAGCAGCAAGGAAAAUUUCCUAUACCUCUACAUCAUAUCUGGAGGAGCUAAGAUGCUAAGAUAUGCAGUCAUAGCAGCCUAGAGAGAGGGCAGCUGACCAGUGGCAAUGGAAAGGUGGAACCCAUCCUCUAUUGGGGAUUGUCAAAUUAGGAUGUGAUACUGUACCCCAUAUCAUGAUAUGAUGGCAUAAUCAUGAUGCGUUUUGUACAAGAUGUAUCGUGGCAAGUGUCUAUGGAAAAGUUGCUGAAUA